GGGGAAUAUUGCACAAUGGGCGCAAGCCUGAUGCAGCAACGCCGCGUGAGGGACGACGGCCUUCGGGUUGUAAACCUCUUUUAGCAGGGAAGAAGCGAAAGUGACGGUACCUGCAGAAAAAGCACUGGCUAACUACGUGCCAGCAGCCGCAGUAAUACGUAGGGUGCAAGCGUUAUCCGGAAUUAUUGGGCGUAAAGAGCUCGUAGGCGGUUUGUCGCGUCUGCUGUGAAAACCCGAGGCUCAACCUCGGGCCUGCAGUGGGUACGGGCAGACUAGAGUGCGGUAGGGGAGAUUGGAAUUCCUGGUGUAGCGGUGGAAUGCGCAGAUAUCAGGAGGAACACCGAUGGCGAAGGCAGAUCUCUGGGCCGUAACUGACGCUGAGGAGCGAAAGCAUGGGGAGCGAAC
rnacentral:rRNA from 1 species